CAGUCGCCACGGUAAUACAGAGGAUGCAAGCGUUAUUCGGAAUGAUUGGGCGUAAAGCGUCUGUAGGUGGCUUUUGAAGUCCGCCGUCAAAUCCCAGGGCUCAACCCUGGACAGGCGGUGGAAACUACCAAGCUGGAGUACGGUAUGGGCAGAGGGAAUUUCCGGUGGAGCAGUGAAAUGCGUUGAGAUCGGAAAGAACACCAACGGCGAAAGUACUCUGCUGGGCCGACACUGACACUGAGAGACGAAAGCUAGGGGAGCAAAUGGGAUUAGAUACCCCCGUAGUCCCUGUCUCUUAUAC
rnacentral:rRNA from 1 species